CAGAGUCCCUGCCCCUCUGGGGUAGACCUCCCACCCGUGUGUAUUCUAAUGAAUUGUUGCUUUGGCGGGCCGCGAGCGUGCCUCGCCCGGGAGCCUCUCCCGGGGUGCCCGCCAGAGGAAACCCAAACUCUGAAUAUUAGUGUCGUCUGAGUACUACAUAAAUCGUUA
rnacentral:misc_RNA from 1 species